ACACCCGUACGAGUGACAGAAUA
rnacentral:miRNA from 1 species